GUGAGGAAUAUUGCGCAAUGGACGAAAGUCUGACGCAGCCAUGCCGCGUGAAGGAUUGACGGCCCUAUGGGUUGUAAACUUCUUUUGUAUAGGAAUAAACCCUCGUUCGUGAACGAGGCUGAAGGUACUAUAAGAAUAAGCACCGGCUAACUCCGUGCCAGCAGCCGCGGUAAUACGGAGGGUGCAAGCGUUAUCCGGAUUUAUUGGGUUUAAAGGGUCCGUAGGCGGAUCGUUAAGUCAGUGGUGAAAUCCUACCGCUCAACGGUAGAACUGCCAUUGAUACUGGCGAUCUUGAGUAUGUAUGAAGUUGGCGGAAUGUGUGGUGUAGCGGUGAAAUGCUUAGAUAUCACACAGAACACCGAUUGCGAAGGCAGCUGACUAAUACACAACUGACGCUGAGGGACGAAAGUGUGGGGAUCAAACAGGAUUAGAUACCCUAGUAGUCC
rnacentral:rRNA from 1 species